rnacentral:rRNA from 1 species
UACGUAGGGGGCAAGCGUUGUCCGGAUUUAUUGGGCGUAAAGAGCGUGUAGGCGGCUUUGCAAGUCCGUUGUGAAAACUCGAGGCUCAACCUCGAGACGCCGGUGGAAACUGCAAAGCUAGAGUCCGGAAGAGGAGAGUGGAAUUCCUGGUGUAGCGGUGAAAUGCGCAGAUAUCAGGAAGAACACCCGUGGCUAAGGCGGCUCUCUAGUACGGUACUGACGCUGAGACGCGAAAGCGUGGGGAGCGAACAGG